UACGUAGGGGGCAAGCGUUGUCCGGAAUCAUUGGGCGUAAAGAGCGCGUAGGCGGCCCUGUAAGUCCGCUGUGAAAGUCAAGGGCUCAACCCUUGAAUGCCGGUGGAUACUGCAGGGCUAGAGUCCGGAAGAGGCGAGUGGAAUUCCCGGUGUAGCGGUGGAAAUGCGCAGAUAUCGGGAGGAACACCAAUGGCGAAGGCGGCUCACUGGUCCGGUACUGACGCUGAGGUGCGAAAGCGUGGGAGCAACAGG
rnacentral:rRNA from 1 species